AGUCACCAGCACGUCUUUCGCAUUAGUAUACGGUGACUUCUCAGUUAGUUAACGCAAUAUGCAUGCUACUUACUACAAUGCCAAGUAUACGCAUCACGGGCAGAGAAUGUUUGAAUAAUAAGCAAUGUUUAUUUUUUCAUUCAUUUGAUAUCUUCCCCGGAAAAGUAGGAUUGGAUUGUUAUCAUUCACGUCGAGUGCGAUUUCGUGUAAUUCUGUCUCUGUUUCUUCACUUAUUUGUAUCUCGUUGAUUUUGAAAGUUAUUACCAAUUGGUGAGAAGAGAAAGCAUGGUCUGGAAACGAAUAAGUAUAUAGAAAGCUGAGAAUCAAGUGGAAGUGGAAGUAUUAUCAGCAUAAUUAAAUAUUAUGAGUAAAAAUAAUUCGCAGAUCAAUAAAAACAUGUCAGAACCGAUUUCUUCACUUAUAAAUCCUGCAAAAAAACCGUCAAUAUUUCGUGCGAGAGCUUGCAAAAAAGGCUGCCUCGCUUGUGACAAGAAGAACAAUAAAUUGGAGCACAUUGUGGUUUACUUACCAGCAAAAUAUCCAAGCUGUCCACCUGGCCUGGAAAAACUAAUCCCUGUCGACCACCUCUUCGUACGACAGGGGAUUCGAGAAACGGAGCCACCAUACACGAUGAUCUCGAGAAACAAGUUUGAAGUCUUGGACGGAACUGGGCGUCGCAUCUUUGUUGCGAAAGAUUCCACCGACAAUAUUCUCAAACUCUGUUGUCGCGGUGGGUGUGGCCAACCAUUUCGGAUGAGCAUCAAAGAAAAAUCUUCCGGGUACGAGAUACUCGCCGUCAAUUCGCGACCCGACUGUUACGGGGCGAUGUCUGCCUCCAUCAGCCAAAAUGGGAUGAAUCUCGGCUUCCUGCACGAAGAUGUCCGUUGCUGUUCUUCAAACUACAUUGUGAUAGAUGCUCAAGGAAAUGAGAUCUUUCGCAUUUAUGACAUCAGUUUAGGAUCGCCCUACUCCAAGAAGGAAGCGGGCAAACGUAACAGCGCCAUCAAACUGGCCGAGUCCUCGUCACUAGCGAAAAUAGCGGAGAGAGCCAAGAACAUGGAGGUCGAGAGCAAAAUUGGCCAGCAACCUCGAAAUGAAACCACUGGGUCAGGAACACCACCACAAGAACGAGACCAAGAAGAAGAACGACGCCAUUAUUCUCACCGCGAGAAAAAAGGGGGCAGAAGUUCAAAGAAAAUAGAAACAGAUAGGAAUGAUGAUGACGACAAUGUUUAUGAUCAUGAUCAUCCCAUCGAUGAGGCGGAAACAACAACAAUGACUCCUCGAAAAACGGGCACGAUUACCACCACCACCACCGCCCAAAUUCCCGGCCCGAGUAGGACAGGAAAUGAACCAAAACCGAAAUCUGAUGAUAACCUCGACCCAAGAAUAAGGAGCGAGUGCAGUGCGACUUGCAGUAAAAAUCUCUUAACUCGACAUGAUGACAAUCCCAAUAACUAUGAACGUAGUCGUGAAGGUGAAGGGGUACGAAGGAGAACAAAUAAUGACACUUCUGCUCUCCAAAAUUGCUCCCCUGUGUUUCCCAGGAGGAGACGAGUCGAAAUGGGGGAAUGGAAUCAUGACACGGGCGAUGUCAAUAAUAUUGAUGGCGGUGGUGGCGAGUGCGUCGAAAUGAGAAACUUUUCUGCUGGACAACAACGAGGUACACAUACGACGAAAUUUCCAUCCGUGAUGCUGAUGUGCAGCCCUCGACCUGCAUUUGUGGGUGGUGUUGCAGAUUGUUUGCGCGUAGGCGUGCCGCGACAAACGAGGGUGCUGGUCGUGACGAUAGGAGUAGCAGCAUCGGGGUGUGUAGGACGCUGGAUUCCUGCAUUGCAUACAUCAGUGGGGGUGCCGAGUUUGCGGUGUACUCGUGUCAGCUGGGCGUCACUGUGGGCAAGAUGGGGAAACAGUGGGACGACCUGUUUGACCACCAUUUCCACCUGACGGAAUGCUUUGGGGUCAAUUUUCCGAGGGAUUUGAGCGUCAGACAUAAAGCUCUGCUGUUGGGAGCGUUGUUAGUUUUGGAUUUUAAUCAUUUUCAAUUGUGACAUCGUGAAGUAAUCCCGAUGAUGAUAUUUGCCGUGAAUGAUUCCAGUUAUGUGAAUAUGUAACACAUUUCAACUGAUAUUUCGACGUGCACAUACACACAAAUACAUAUUUUCACAUGUCUCAUAUUGCAUUAAUAAAUGGGGUUAAUAUGGACGUAUUUAAAUACUGAAUUUCAUAGGGUUUGUAUGUUAUGAAAUCUUAAGGGCCCGGGGGAAGUUGCUUAGAAAUCAUGUCAACUUUGAUCAUAAAAUUCAGCAAUGCGCAAGAGGGCACAUUUUUCAAAUUAUGUUUAAUUUGUUAGUUAUAUCUUUAGGUUUUACUAACUUUUUUUUUGACAAUGUGCCCUCUUGCGCAGUGGAGAUAUCUGGUCAUAAAGUCAGAGACUGGCGGAUUAAAGAUAUUGGGAUUAAGGAUUGAGAUUGAGGAUUAAAUUUAAAAUCUUGGGAUUGAGAUUGGGAAUUAAGGAUUAAUUUUUCAAAUUUUGGGAUUAAGGAUUGGGAUUAGGGAUUGAAUUUAAUCUGGGAUUAGGAUUGACACGGGAUUAAAUUUAGGGGUUACCUGGUUUGGAAAUUAAUUUACAUAGUCGUGGAUUAAUUGUUUGCAUUAAGGCGCAUUAUUAUGCCAGAUUUUUAAAUUAAUUAAACAAAUCUCUGAACUUCUGAAAAUGAAAUAUUUUGAUCAUUUUGCAUACAAAAUUAGAUCGCUUCUGAAUACAAUUUCUAAGUCGCAAUUAAAUAUAUUUUGUGCUAAAAAUUAUAUAGGGGAAGAAUUCUAAUUUUAUUCUUGGUACUAUUUUAACGAACAGCAUCGAUCAUAGUUUGGUUAGAGUACUCACAUUUCUUUAUAAGCUCACACAAAAUUUGAACAUUGUGCAUUGAGUUGAGGAUACCGCGAUACGAGUAGUUUUGCAAAAUAUUGUGAAGUAUUUUUAAAUGUUUGAUAAAAAUGAACGAAAUGCAAUCAAUUUUCGAAAGGGGAGCGAUCUCAAGAGAAGUUUGUUUUUCGAGUUUUUAGUCAAUGCAAAUUUAAUCCCACUUUAAUCCCACCUUUGGAUUAAAGUUGACAGAGUUGGAUUGGGGAUUAGGGAUUAAGGAUUAAAAUUCAAAAACUCGGGAUUAAGGAUUGAGAUUAAGGAUUAAUUAAUCCCCAAUCCCAAUCUCAAUCCCCAAUCCUUAAUCCGGGAUUGACCAGUCUCUGCAUAAAGUAAGCACAAAUUGGCUUAGAAUUGCAAAAUUGAUGGCAUGAAUUGCAUUUUGAGUAUCCAUGGAACAAAAGAAAACAACUUUUUUCAAAAACUUGAGGGAAAAG